rnacentral:rRNA from 1 species
UACGUAGGUGGCAAGCGUUGUCCGGAUUUACUGGGCGUAAAGAGCGCGCAGGCGGUCGUUCAAGUCGCGUGUGAAAGCCCCCGGCUCAACUGGGGAGGGUCACGCGAUACUGAUCGACUCGAAGGCAGGAGAGGGAAGUGGAAUUCCCGGUGUAGUGGUGAAAUGCGUAGAUAGUCGGAGGAACACCAGUGGCGAAGGCGACUUCCUGGCCUGUUCUUGACGCUGAGGCGCGAAAGCUAGGGGAGCAAACGGGG